rnacentral:rRNA from 1 species
GAGUUUGAUCCUGGCUCAGAUUGAACGCUGGCGGCAGGCUUAACACAUGCAAGUCGAACGGUAACAUGAGUGCUUGCACUUGAUGACGAGUGGCGGACGGGUGAGUAAUGUAUGGGGAUCUGCCGAAAGGAGGGGGACAACAGUUGGAAACGACUGCUAAUACCGCAUAAAGUUGAGAGACCAAAGCAUGGGACCUUCGGGCCAUGCGCCAUUUGAUGAACCCAUAUGGGAUUAGCUAGUUGGUAGGGUAAUGGCUUACCAAGGCGACGAUCUCUAGCUGGUCUGAGAGGAUGACCAGCCACACUGGAACUGAGACACGGUCCAGACUCCUACGGGGGGCAGCAGUGGGGAAUAUUGCACAAUGGGGGAAACCCUGAUGCAGCCAUGCCGCGUGUAUGAAGAAGGCCUCCGGGUUGUAAAGUACUUUCGGUGAUGAGGAAGGUGGUGUAUCUAAUAGGUGCAUCAAUUGACGUUAAUUACAGAAGAAGCACCGGCUAACUCCGUGCCAGCAGCCGCGGUAAUACGGAGGGUGCGAGCGUUAAUCGGAAUGACUGGGCGUAAAGGGCAUGUAGGCGGAUAAUUAAGUUAGGUGUGAAAGCCCUGGGCUCAACCUAGGAAUUGCACUUAAAACUGGUUAACUAGAGUAUUGUAGAGGAAGGUAGAAUUCCACGUGUAGCGGUGAAAUGCGUAGAGAUGUGGAGGAAUACCGGUGGCGAAGGCGGCCUUCUGGACAGAUACUGACGCUGAGAUGCGAAAGCGUGGGGAGCAAACAGGAUUAGAUACCCUGGUAGUCCACGCUGUAAACGAUGUCGAUUUGGAGUUUGUUGCCUAGAGUGAUGGGCUCCGAAGCUAACGCGAUAAAUCGACCGCCUGGGGAGUACGGCCGCAAGGUUAAAACUCAAAUGAAUUGACGGGGGCCCGCACAAGCGGUGGAGCAUGUGGUUUAAUUCGAUGCAACGCGAAGAACCUUACCUGGUCUUGACAUCCACAGAAUCUUGCAGAGAUGUGAGAGUGCCUUCGGGAACUGUGAGACAGGUGCUGCAUGGCUGUCGUCAGCUCGUGUUGUGAAAUGUUGGGUUAAGUCCCGCAACGAGCGCAACCCUUAUCCUUUGUUGCCAUCGGUUAGGCCGGGAACUCAAAGGAGACUGCCGUUGAUAAAGCGGAGGAAGGUGGGGACGACGUCAAGUCAUCAUGGCCCUUACGACCAGGGCUACACACGUGCUACAAUGGCGUAUACAAAGGGAGGCGA